rnacentral:lncRNA from 1 species
UUUUACAGACAUUCAGCGUUAGAGGAGAGAGCAUUCCGCAAUUGGUGAAAGCACCCGCAAACAGGGAGAUCAAUCAUCAAAUGCAAAGUUCUUCUACAAAGUAAUGGUCAAUAGAGUUCUUUCCAGAGAUUAACCCGAAUCAAUAAAGUACUGCUCGACGUUCUUGGCGAUUAAAUACAUCAAGGAGAUCUACAUUAUCCUACAUUCGAGAAAGACGCUUCCAAAGCCCUCGAAUUACGAAGAAUUUCAUAGAGGAGAAUCAAGGGAUACAAAGAAUUGUAUUCACAAAUAUUCAUCAAUAAAAUCUUUUUUUCUUCAUAUUAUUUUUGUUGCGG